GUGAGGAAUAUUGGUCAAUGGGCGAGAGCCUGAACCAGCCAAGUCGCGUGAAGGAAGAAGGAUCUAUGGUUCGUAAACUUCUUUUGCAGGGGAAUAAAGUGCAGGACGUGUCCUGUUUUGUAUGUACCCUGAGAAUAAGGAUCGGCUAACUCCGUGCCAGCAGCCGCGGUAAUACGGAGGAUACGAGCGUUAUCCGGAUUUCUUGGGGUUAAAGGGUGCGUAGGUGGUUUGAUAAGUCAGCGGUGAAAGUUUGCAGCUUAACUGUAAAAAUGCCGUUGAAACUGUCGGACUUGAGUGUAAAUGAGGUAGGCGGAAUGCGUGGUGUAGCGGUGAAAUGCAUAGAUAUCACGCAGAACUCCGAUUGCGAAGGCAGCUUACUAAGCUACAACUGACACUGAAGCACGAAAGCGUGGGGAUCAAACAGGAUUAGAUACCCCAGUAGUCC
rnacentral:rRNA from 1 species